rnacentral:lncRNA from 1 species
UGGCAACCUUUGAAGAGUCACAUUCCAAAAGGAUAGAAAUCCUGUGAACUCUCAAAACAGAUGAAACACCAGAUUUUUUUAUAUGACAAGGCUUUUGUAUGACUUAUUUUGCAUGCUUUAGCCUGGUGCUUUCUUUAGUAUGGCCUUUCUUUGCUUUCUGCUUGCCAGAGUUCAUUUGCAAGUUGGUCCCACAGCAUCAGCGAGAGGAAACAACAGCACAGUGCCAAGUGGUAGUCCUGCUCUUCUAUUCAGUUUCUGUCUGUAUGAGAAGCUCAGUUCUCAGAACAGCUCUCCAGCAUCAUCGCUUUUCUGGUGCACUUGCCAGCUAUCCAACCAGACUUUAUAAAGAACACGCGUGAUUUUCUCUCCUUUCUCUCCACCCCACCAGACAUUUUUGCUAUGAAAGAAUCGAAACACGUUUGGCCUCUUCCUAAUAAAAACUGUUGAUAAUUAUUCCA